GGGUGUUAUAUAGAGAAAGGAGAGGGUGUUAUAUAGAGAGAGGGAGGUAGAGAGGAGAGGGAGAUAUAUAUAGAGAGGAGAGGGAGUUAUAUAGAGAGAGGAGAGGGUGUUAUAUAGAAAGAGGGAGGUAGAGAGGAGAGGGUGUUAUAUAGAGAGAGGAGAGGGUGUUAUAUAGAGAGAAGGAGGUGGAGAGGGAGUUAUAUAGAGAGAGGAGAGGGUGUUAUAUAGAGAGAGGAGAGGGUGUUAUAUAGAGAGAGGAGAGGGUGUUAUAUAGAGAGAGGAGAGGGUGUUAUAUAGAGAGAGGAUAGGGUGUUAUAUAGAGAGAGGGAGGUAGAGAGGAGAGGGAGAUAUAUAGAGAGAAGCAGGUGGAGAGGGAGUUAUAUAGAGAGAGGAGAGGGUGUUAUAUAGAGAGAGGAGAGGGUGUUAUAUAGAGAGAGGAGAGGGUGUUAUAUAGAGAGAGGAGAGGGUGUUAUAUAGAGAGAGGAUAGGGUGUUAUAUAGAGAGAGGGAGGUAGAGAGGAGAGGGAGAUAUAUAGAGAGAAGCAGGUGGAGAGAGAGUUAUAUAGAGAGAGGAGAGGGUGUUAUGUAGAGAGAGGAGAGGGUGUUAUGUAGAGAGAGGAGAGGGUGUUAUAUAGAGAGAGGAGAGGGUGUUAUAUAGAGAGAGGGAGUUAGAGAGGAGAGGGAGAUAUAUA
rnacentral:lncRNA from 1 species